CGUGUAGGCGGCCAGUCAAGUCAGAUGUGAAAUCCCUGAGCUUAACUCAGGAACUGCAUCUGAAACUGAUUGGCUCGAGUACAGGAGAGGAAGGUGGAAUUCCUGGUGUAGAGGUGAAAUUCGUAGAUAUCGGGAAGAACACCGGUGGCGAAGGCGGCCUUCUGGCCUGAUACUGACGCUGAGACGCGAAAGCGUGGGGAGCAAACA
rnacentral:rRNA from 1 species